AUUGAACGCUGGCGGCAUGCAUUACACAUGCAAGUCGAACGGUAACACGCCUUCGGGUGCUGACGAGUGGCGAACGGGUGAGUAAUGCAUCGGAACGUACCCAGAGGCGGGGGCUAACGCAGCGCAAGCUGUGCUAAUACCGCAUGUGAUCUGAGGAUGAAAGCGGGGGACCGAGCUGCAAAGUUUGGCCUCGCGCCUUUGGAGCGGCCGCUGUCGGAUUAGCUAGUUGGUAGGGUAAAGGCCUACCAAGGCGACGAUCCGUAGCUGGUCUGAGAGGAGGACCGGACACACUGGGACUGAGACACGGCCCAGACUCCUACGGGAGGCAGCAGUAGGGAAUCUUGGACAAUGGGCGCAAGCCUGAUCCAGCAAGGCCGCGUGAGGGAUGAAGGCCUUCGGGUUGUAAACCGCUUUUGACAGGAACGAAACGGUGUCCGCUAAUACCGGGCGCUAAUGACGGUACCUACAGAAUAAGCAACGGCUAACUACGUG
rnacentral:rRNA from 1 species